GAAUGAGGUGAUGAUCUUGAUGUUUCCCUAUUGGUUUGACUCGCCGGAAUGAUGGCGUCUGACCUUUGUAUUAGCUCUAUCUGAUCAUUC
rfam:Eucalyptus grandis cultivar BRASTZ1 unplaced genomic scaffold scaffold_2, whole genome shotgun sequence.